GAAAUUGAAAAAAUAAAAAGGAUAGAAACAGAAGCAAUGAUGUCAAAUCUCCCGUUUUCUGUCUCAAUGUGCUAUUUCUUAUCUCGUGUCCUGUAAAUUCCUGAAUCUCAUCUAGAUAUUUCUAAAAGCCAAGCUGAGAACUAAUGUCAUGGUGCUGGCUGCAGCCAUUGUGCUAUGGAUUGAAAUGACCUCUGGAAACCCACUCAGAAUGUCUUGGCCAGUCAAGGUUUACAAUGAAAAAAUUGAAGAGAACACACUAUGAAUCUGCCUCUGUUACUUCGCAAAAGCAGCACGGUCUCUACCCUGUGUACAAAGAACAUCCGUCAAAAUGAAUGCAAUGGCCUGACAGGGAGA
rnacentral:lncRNA from 1 species